ACAUUCUAAUUUAUUGUCAUGUUCCUAUUGCUUUUAGAUCUAAUUCUGCAGCUCUCUUUUUAACUGCAGUGUAAAAAGGACGCACGUACAGAUUUAAUUUACUUGGCAUUUGUGGUGCCUCUACACAUUUGUCACUUACAUUUUAGAUGUACUUGAAUUUUUACUGACUUUCCUUAAACUUGAGAAAAGUGUUCUGCAAUCUAAACACUGAACUAACAACACAAAGUUGCAAUUCCACUUUGCCAUUAGUUAAGGCAGGAAAACGUGUAUUGCAAUGAAGAUUCUCCUAGUUUGAAGAAAGUUCAGCAUGAUGUACUGUGCGCAGCAUAGCAUUGACCAAGUUGCUUUCUGUUGAGGAUAUUUUAUUUGAUGCCAACAGGAAGAGGUCUGUAACAAGAUACUUUCUUACAACUGAAAAUGAGAAUUCUGGAUUAUUUUACACAUCUAGCUAAGCUUGGGCUGUGAUGGUUGUCAAUAUCCAAGUAUCUCAGAAUCUUUCUAACUUUGUCUCCCCGAGUUGCUCUGACAGCAAUAUUUUUGCUUCAGCUCAGCCUUGCUGCAUUUGAGCGUGCAGAAAAUGCUGUAACGUAACUUUAGGGUCAGUGACUUUUAGAUAAUGAUGAUUUCAGAGCUCAGCUUAUUGGGAGCUACAGUUUUGUGCCCAAUCAUGUUAGGGAUAGCUUAUUGUCAAAAUAAUGUUUAGGUGUUAGAAAUGUUGAGUUAAGACAUGGGCUACUCUAAACCACCUGAAAAGGUAGGGGGGAACAAAUACUCAUGUGUUGGAGUUUAUGCAGGUUCUUUGCACUAGAACAGAGUAUAUUCUAUCAAAGGGAAGAGUAGAGAAAAAAGUUCUCCUUGCUUGUGCACAUGCCUGUAGCCAUACUCUAAGUCGUGGAGAGCAGAACUAUUGAGAAUAGGGGGAGUAAGCAGGUGGUUAGUGAUGGAUCACAAGGUUAACUAACAUUUAAAAAGUAGGAAAAAAUCUGUUUUUCUUCCACAAGGAAUUGAGGCAGCCAGGGUAAAUGGAGUAGUGAAUCUAUCGGGGCACAUAAGAAGAUGGAGGGAAUAAUAUCAUAUG
rnacentral:lncRNA from 7 species